GUCUACGGCCAUACCACUCUGAACACGCCCGAUCUCGUGUGAUCUUGGAAGCUAAGCAGGGUCGGGCCUGGUCAGUACUGGAUGGGAGACAGAUUGAUCCAUACU
ensembl:rRNA 5S_rRNA 5S ribosomal RNA